UUGACCUCAAAUCAGGUAGGACUACCCGCUGAACUUAAGCAUAUCAAUAAGCGGAGGAAAAGAAACUAACAAGGAUUCCCCUAGUAACUGCGAGUGAAGCGGGAAAAGCUCAAAUUUGAAAUCUGGCGGUUCUGAACUGUCCGAGUUGUAAUCUAGAGAAGUGUUACCUGUGCUGGACCGUGUACAAGUCUCCUGGAAUGGAGCAUCAUAGAGGGUGAGAAUCCCGUCUUUGACACGGACUACCUGUACAUUAUGGUGCGCUCUCGAAGAGUCGAGUUGUUUGGGAAUGCAGCUCAAAAUGGGUGGUAAAUGCCAUCUAAAGCUAAAUAUUGGCGAGAGACCGAUAGCGAACAAGUACCGUGAGGGAAAGAUGAAAAGAACUUUGGAAAGAGAGUUAAACAGUACGUGAAAUUGCUGAAAGGGAAACGCUUGAAGUCAGUCGCGUUGGCUAGAAAUCAACCUAGCUCUUGCUCGGUGUACUUUCUGGUUGACGGGUCAGCAUCAAUUUUGACCAUUGGAUAAAGUCUUUGGGAAUGUGGCAUCUUCGGAUGUGUUAUAGCCCAUUGUCGCAUACGGUGGUUGGGAUUGAGGAACUCAGCACGCCGCAAGGCCGGGUUUCGACCACGUUCGUGCUUAGGAUGCUGGCAUAAUGGCUUUAAUCGACCCGU
rnacentral:rRNA from 1 species